UGUUGCCUCAAGUUUAAUUGGAAAUCGCGUGCCUUGUGAAGAAUGGACACUCAGUAGAUGCUUAUUGAUGAACCUGUUGGUUGAGGAUAACUCGCUAACUUUUCUGAGCUUUGUUGGAAAAACUGUCACUGUAUCUCUAUGCAUUACAGAAAAUGGCUAGUUAAAAACUUGUCAAGAUUAUGAAUGAGUGCAUCCAAAAGUAAUCACUGGAAUUGCUGUUCAUUGUGGGCUUCCCAGCAUUCUCCUCUGGGCAUUUAUAUCAAAUAACUUAUGAGUGAUGCAGAAUUAGUAUUCACCGGUCAGACAUUGAUUAUUUAGAAUUCCCUCUGAUUUGAAUUACAUCUACUGUUUUUUUCUCCCAUCCAUUUAUGGGUCAAAUGUACAAUAAGCCAAAACAUGUUGAUUCUGGUGAAAUUUAGCAGAGAAAAACAGCUUCACCUAGUGGCCACAGAAACUCGAAAAGCUUUACUGAAAAGAAAUAAAUUGGAUAUCUUCUCAUCCUGGAUAUGAACUGGAUUCCAACUUAACCUUCCAACUGUUUUGCUGUUUCUCUGAAGUCUGAACCUUGUGUAUGGCAAUACUUAUCUCAAGCAAAAAUAUAGUUUCACAUUGGUAGUACUGUAUUCAGGAAAACUGGAAAUUGUACUAUGAAGGAGCACUUCUACCACAUCCGUAUCUAAGUCUACAUUCACAGCUGCUGGAAACAGAUAUUGUAUUCAUACUAUGGUGGGAAACACAUAAUGUAUGUAUGUAUACACAUGUGUGCACACAUAUAUAUGCUAGCGUAUAAUCUGGAAAAAUUUUGCUAAGAUAUAUAGGAAGAGAACCUUUUUAUUCAGAAUAUUGAACAAGUAGGACUCAUAGUGUAAAAUUAAGAAAAAUUAUUUUUCUUCUACUGCCCUUUCUAUGGAUUUGGUUCUUCCUCUUCCCCUGAAUGUAAACUUAAGCAGUCUUCUAUGCAUUUUGUGUUCAUUCCUAAAUAUUAGAAAUAGUUAUUUGAUUAUUUAGCCUUUAGUCUCAGUUUAAUAACCAAAAUAUGAGGUUAAAAUUUAAUUCUGGCUACAGAAUUAAGGCUUCUCUCUCCUGCCGCACUUCCAGGCCAGUUGCAGGCAUGAUACCAGCAGUCUGGGAGGUAGAGACAAGAGGACACAUCUCUGCUGCUCCCUUCUUUCCCCAUGGUUAUGCGCCAACUUUGGUUUCACCAGGCCUACAGUGCUUCCCAGGUUUGGAGUGUGGGGAAGGAGAAGAUUUAAUGGAAGCAGCUUAAGGGAAAUGCUCAAACUAAACUGAUACUUUCUUCAUGAUCUAGCAUUGAAACUUUCUGGACUUGACAGAUAUUUAAAAUUAACUCUUUUUCUCAUUAACAUUUUCAUGGGUUCUUCCAAGAUCCACAUUACCCAACCUGUGGGUUCCCAUGACAAGGAUUAAGGCAUCUCUGUUUCUUCUGGACCUUUAUUUACCUGGAUUCUUUCUCUAGGGACUGUUUACCCUUAUGGGCCAUCCUUUUGAGCAUAACCUAACAAGAUUCAUGCUGGCUUUAAGUGAGUGGUCCACAUUUGGUUCAUGGGAAAACCACAUAGUUUGUCCCCAGCAAACCUGGAAGUAAUAUUUAUUUUACUGCUGGAAUUAAGGAAAACCAAAAAUCCUAUUACAAAAUGGCUCCUCUAAACAUUCACAUUACCCCUUUUUGUCUCUACCCCCUGAGGAACUAACCAACUCUAGCUCUUUGGAUUUUCCAAAUGAGAGGUCAACACAUCGAUGUCUCCAAGACCUUAAGUUCUUCUAGUGGUCUCUUUAAGCUUCCUCCCUUGAAUUAUGGUGAAAAGGGACUGCCUGCUACCCCCUCCUCUUGAGGAGAGGGGUGGUAUCACAGCCUAACAAUAAUUUCCAAAAAUUUUCUCCUCCAGCUCUAAUGCUUAACCAGUUUAGACUUUCAAAGUGGAUAAUGUAAUUUAAAGCCUUACAGCUAGUUAUGCUCUACUUCUUCUAUAAGUCCUGCAACCAGGUGGUCUCAAUCCUCACUUGCGAAUACUGCAUUUACUCACCUUGUGCCCUAGCCAAAACUUCCACAACAAAUUCUGUGGUGCAUUUAAGUGAAAGAUGUUAUUUGAUUGAUAGAGAGAUAGAUAGAUAGAUACAGAUAUAGAUAUAGAUAUGUAUUAGAACCAUGUCAAAUGGUUAACUUUUUUAAAAAGGUAAAUUUUUUAUAUUGAGAUAAUUAUAGAUUCUCAUACACUCGUAAGAAAUAACACAGAAAGAUCCCAUGUAGCCUUUAUCCAGUUUCCCCAGUGAUAAUAUCUUGCAAAACUAUAGUCCAAUAUCACAACCAAGAUACUGGCAUUGAUAGAUCACUUCCAUCACCACAAACAUCCCUCAUGUUGCCCUUUUAUAGCCACACUCAUUUCCCUCCUGCUGCCACCCUCUCCUUUACCCAUAACCACUUAUCUGUUCUCUAUUUUUGUAAUUUUAUCAUUUCAAGAAUACUGUAGAAAUGGAAUAAUACAGUAUGUAUUUUAGGGCUUAUCUUUUCUACACUCGGCAUGAUUCUCUGGAGAUUCAUCCAGGUUGUUGCAUGUAUCAAUAGUUCAUUCCUUUUUUACUGCUGAACAGUAUUCCAUUGUAUGUAUGUACCAUAGUUUAACUAUUUGCUC
ensembl:lncRNA METTL14-DT METTL14 divergent transcript